CCUACGGGUGGCAGCAGUGGGGAAUAUUGGGCAAUGGGCGCAAGCCUGACCCAGCAACGCCGCGUGAAGGAAGAAGGCUUUCGGGUUGUUAACUUCUUUUCUGGGGGACGAACAAAUGACGGUACCCCAGGAAUAAGCCACGGCUAACUACGUGCCAGCAGCCGCGGUAAUACGUAGGUGGCAAGCGUUAUCCGGAUUUAUUGGGUUUAAAGGGCGUGUAGGCGGGAAGGUAAGUCAGAUGUGAAAAUUAGGGGCUCAACCCAUAACCUGCAUUUGAAACUGUAAGUCUUGAGUGCUGGUGAGGCAGGCGGGAGGCGUGGGGUAGCGGUGAAAUGCGUAGAGAGCACGAAGAACUCCGAGUGGGAAGGCAGAUUACUAAACUGCCACUGACAUUGAUGCGCGAAAGUGUGGGUAUCAAACAGGAUUAGAUACCCCUGUAGUC
rnacentral:rRNA from 1 species